rnacentral:tRNA from 1 species
GGGGGGAUGGUGUAACGGCAAACAUCUCGGUCUCCAAAACCGUGGUUCUGGGUUCGAAUCCCAGUCCCCUUG